GGUUUACUUAACCAUAUGUCUGACACCAUAUUACCGUAAAUACAAUGUGUUGAGUGCAUCGUUAAAUAAAACAUUUCUUUCUUUCUUUCUUGUUAGUGUUUGUAUCAUUGUUUUUCUGGCUGAUUGGUAGACUUUUUGUCAACAGAUAGACCAGCUGAUUGUGCCAUGGAUUUCAUUAAACCACCAAGCUUAUUUUUUACCAACCCGCUGCCCAUUAAAAAGACUUUUCAUCCCUCACCGGGUUUUUGUGUGUGUGUGUUUGUGGUAAAAUAAAAAGGAUGGUCAGCGUUGCUGUAAUUGAAUUAGAUGGAAGGAUCUGUAUUUAGAACUACAGGAUAUUGUGCAGGAUUUUCUUUAUUUGGGAACCCUUUUCAGGCAUUGCUUGGGAUGGAUCCAUCUCGUGUUUUCAUCUGUCUCUCGUUAUAAUCAACAAACUGCUUGUUAUCACUGUCAGUUUUUAGUGAAACGUCACCCCAUUUCGUAAUCUGGUGUGGUAAAAUGGACUGCAAUCCAAAUACACACUACUGUUCUACAAGAGAGUUUGAAGGAUAGUUUCAGGAGUUCUUGAAGUUCACCAGAUUUUCCAAAGUUGAUUGAGUUCAUGGGGUGAUAACACGUGCAGUUGAUUAGAUCUUUGAAUUCAUCAGGCAAGCUGAGAGUGGGGAAGAAUUCAAGUCAAUUGAACCAGAAACAUCUUGUUGCUGCUGCAUUAUAAUUUAAUAGAAACUGUUGCUGCAUCAGUGUGAAAUCGUGGAUGUCCUGCUUAUAACGACUUUGAUUUUUUUUUCAUUUAUUCAUAUGGAUGUCGAAAGCCAUUCAACAUUUAAACAUGUACUCAGGUUUUCACUGUCAAAAGUCUGGGUACUGCUAUCCUUUUUGUAAUUUUAAAGAAUGAUAAAAGAAUGUAAAAAAAAAAAAAAAAAUGCACUUAAUAUAGUAAAACUGAAAUUGACAUUUGUAAGAUUUUUUUUUUUCUUGCAAAAGUAAUAUAACAGAUAUAUGUAUAUGGUGUAAUAAAAAUGUUAUUUAUGUUUAUCCCAGAAUAGAUUUCAUUAUCAAUCAGGAUAUUUGAUUUCCUACUAUGUUCUUUUUAACAUCAUUUGCAUACUCUUUACAGAAUUAUUAAAAAAAAUUAACUCCAAUUUGUACACAAUACAAUGUUAAAUAAAUUAACUAAUAAUUUACCAAAGGAUUAAAAAUAAAAAUCGCAUAAGCAAGACAAACUAGAAGUUCCAGUCUUAUGGGUCUGCUUAUUUCAAAGCCUGCUUGUUUUCAGCGUCAGAACGUUCCAUUUUUGAUGGUAUUUAAGUAAAACUUGAUAAUUAAAUGCCGGAAGGUUUUCGGGAAAUUCUGACCGUGAAAGUGACCACCUUUGAGUACAGCCACCUGUAAGAUUUGGCAACAAAUGAUGUUCAUUUAUGUAGAACAAAAUGUCAUCUUUUUCCAGUGAUAUUUUUAUACUUUUAAAUCCACAUUUUUGAGUGGAUGUGAAAGAUGUAUUAAAUUGUUUUGUUAACAUUAUAACCAGGUUGUACCAAAGUUAAAUCCCCUCGUCAACACCAAAAUAAUGCUCACCAACUAUGGCGUAAUGUUUCAAACCAGUAUUUGUUUUGUUGGUUGUCUAUGAUUUUAAGUCCAACAAAUUCUUUUUUUCAUUUAAUUGAUAAAAAUUACACUUGUGCAAAAAUAAUGCCAAUGAUAUUAAAAAUGAAAGGUGUUGUUUCAUUUUCUAUUCACACACCAAAAAACCACCUAACUUUGGUAUAAGUGUACAAAAAAGUUGUAUAAAUUAUUGCGAUAUUUUUCUUGAUGUAUUUGUCUCGGAUGUUGUAAAUUAUAUUUUUUAUCAACUUAUUUUACCUGCCAUUUGUUGUUUUUGUUUUAAAAUGUAUUACUAUUAAGAAUUCAUUGAACUGUAUACUAUUUUUUUCCAUUAGACCAAAUUAAACAAGAGAAAAGAAAUUUUAAUUUUAUUCAUUUCAGUGAAAUCUUGUUGACUAACAUGAUUUAUCAAUGAUUAUGAUUUCUGGUAAUUGUAGGUCCUAAUUAUUUCAGACCGACAUUACUUUAAAUUCAAGAUCGUGUUUUGCUGUUCUAUUCCUGUUACAGAGUGAAUUGUUACAACUAAUAUUUGGUGUUUCAGUGUUGUUUCUUGAAUAAUAUAAAUGCAUGUAUGCUGAACAAGUUUCAAUGCAGAAAUUUAAAGGCAUGUAAGAUAUUAAAAUAUUUUGUAAACAAGCUACAAUUGCAAUGUCCCUAAUUGCUACAACUCAUAAUGUGGUGUUUAGAGGGUCAUGUUUUAGAAUUUAGACAUUCAGCUCCAAGAAAUUUGGCCGGUUUUGACAGAAUUCCACUUUGUUCAAGGUCUGGUUUAGGCAGGUUUCACUGUAUAUAUAUUUUUUAUUUAAAAAAACAUACUAGUAUUCACAUUUCUUCACAAUGGGUAAAAUAAAGUUGAGCAGAACAUCAUUCCAGAAAUGGUGCUAGACUAAGUUUCAAAGAAAAUAAAUUAAAACUUGUAUUGCAAGGCGAUCAGUUUGCCACUUGCCUAAAACAUUCCAGGCGAAUGUAGAGGGUUUCCUAGUGAAGACUGUAAAAGUAUAACAAAAAGAGAGAAAAAACUGAAAUAUGUUAAAACACUCUCUUCUAACAGUAAAAUGCUAGUGAUGAGAUUACUUUAAAACAACUGGCAACAGCAAACAUCUAUAGGCACUUUUUUUUUGUUGGCAUUUUGCUACAUUCUUUCAUUAUUUUUGUGGUAGAGAUCUUUCAUGUAUAACUCUGGUAAAAGAAAUAAUAGCCUCAGGAAAAAAGGCAAGGCUCAUUUAGAUGACAUUUCGAGUAGUAAAAAGAAUACAAAAUAAGAAUCCAACUACAGUACAGCUUGAACAAUGCAUGGGUGUUUAUAAUGCAUGUACCUACAGACAUUGAUACAGUUUACAAAUCUUUGUCAUCAUUUUGGUUUCCCAUUGACAUGUCUAAAGACAAGAUGCAGGUGUUACACGUACAUGUACCUUUACGGUGGCAGUGGCAUCAACGUUUGCAUUUAGUUCAGUGUUACGGUUUUGCAUUUAGCUCCAUUUCUCUCCAACAGAUUGUAAACAUAGCAUGAUUUGUUGCUUCCACGAAUCCCUUAUUUUGGGUCUGAAGUGUAAGAUUACGAGAUAGAAUCCCCAAAAUACACAUUACAUCACUUGACAGUUCUGGCAGAAUCCUAAAACAAAAUCCCCAAAUUCAGUGCCUGACAAACAAUAAUUCCUAAUUAAGUCCACCUUCGUUUAUUUUUGAACAUAUGGAUGUUCAUCUCAAUUUUUUAUUUUUAAAUUUAAAAAAACCCACAGGAUUAAUGAUGAACUUUUUGUCAUUUAUUUUUAUUUAUUUAUUAUUAUUAAAACUUCCAUUUAUUUUUAAUGUGCAUUGAGAUAAAUACAUGUAUGUAUGGGUGCAUUUAUGAGCAACCCCAAAUGAUUUUUAUGAUAGGCAAGACAUUGAAUUCUGCAGAAUUUAUUUUUAUACUAUGUACUACUAAAUAGGUUCGGCCUUUGGAGUUGAUAUGCUGAAAACCACAUUUACCUUACAAUGUAGAUUACACACAGCUGCAAGGGACAUAGAAUGAUAUUUAUCAGGGCACUCUUAGUGCUAAGAUCACCAUAAAUGCAUAGCAACCUUAUGCACUUUAGGAGAUCUUGAUGUUAAAAUCACUUCGUGAAAUGGGCCGCAUGGUAUUAUGUUCUAAAAUGUUUAUUAUAUUUAUUACAUAAUGUAACCAAAAUAGAGGUUUUAAAAAAACCCUAUGUAUUGUAAUUGUACAGAAUAGUCACCAUGUACAUUGCUGUAUCAUACUAAUAAAUUAUUUAUACAGUCUCAGAUUAAACGAGGCAAACCUUGAUUGUGCUUUAUUUAAUGCAGGUUUAUGUAAAAUUACAUCAUAAUGACCAAGCAAUAACACAACCAAGAAGUUAAAUAUGGAACAAUAUAGAUUUCACAUUGCCUUUAGUCCUAUCCAUAAUGCACACCCACGAAUACACCACCAAACUAGAAUGUACACCAAAUUCCAUUCAGAAAUGCACUCCACCAAACAAUGUUAUGCGUCAUCAGAGUACACUGCAAUCCUUCACAAUAAUGAAUGAGCCAAAUAUGUAUGAUUGAUGUGGGCACAAUACUGCACCAUUUCAUCCAUCCUGUGCCUUCUAUAAGAAGACUGCUACUCCUAGGACUGGCUUGACAGAGUGAAGCUUGUUCACAACCACACUUCCAUCUAAAUACCCAUCAUUCACAAAAUUUAAUUAUACCAAGAAUGCAUAGGGAAAAACAAUACACCGAUUCAUCAGGCAAAAAAUUAUUAUGGUACACACACACCCUUUCCAUCGAAGCCCCCAUGCGAUUAAUUUUGUAAAAGAAAUCUGACUAUAAAAUAUAUACGUACCAAAUAGCUGGGGUGGGAUCUAUUUCAAUUGGUAGAGUGCUCUCCUGAGGUGCUUGCAUCAUAGGAUCGAAUCACCUUAGUGGACCCAUUCUUCGAGUGGGUUAUUUCCCAUCCCAACUAGUGCCGCACAAGUGGUAUAUCAAAGGCCAUGUUAUGUACGGUCCUGUCUGUGGGAAAAUUCACAGGCCUCACAUGUGGUCAAAAUCAUAGAGUGAAGUCUCUUUUCUCUGAAACUUUUAAGAUGGCAAAGUUUUUAACAGGAGGGAGACUUGAAUUUUUAAUCUAAAAAAAUUAAAUAUGCAAGGGAAAAAAAAGAAGUUAUAUUAAACCAUUACGUCAAACCUGUCUUCACAUAAGACUAAUGGCUACUGAGUACAGAUGAAACUUUUACAGUUUGUAAUAUUUUAUUUUAAAAAUGUUUGCCAUCUGUACUGCUAAUUGAUGGGGGUGUGCUCAAGAGUUUUCUGAAAAAUCACCUAUCCACAUGUCGCCUUCUUCAGAAAUAACGAAAUGUAACAGAAAAGCACCAAUUUAACCAUUUGGAAUUCAUGCUCUCACCAGUUUGUCUUCUGUUUUUAUUAAAUUACUACUCCAUCAGGGUACCCACAGGACAGGGAAAAUGUUUUAAAAAAAUUCCCUGCAGGGAAAAUUCAGGUAAUUUGAAAUUUUUGUCCGAUUCAGGGAAAAUACAGGAAAUUUAUUUGGGUGUAAUGGAAUCCGGAAAAUAUAUCAGGGAAUUUUGUGGAGACCUAUAUGGUAUAUACACAUAUACAUGUACAUGUAUAUAUACAAAAUCAUGUAAAAAUGUAAUAAACCUAAGAUAUUGUU
rnacentral:lncRNA from 1 species